AAGGUCCAUGCUGGAGUGCAAACAUUAGAUCUGCCUUGUUAUUUCUCAGACAAAGCUUUGUGAUGUUAGGACAAAAUCACUUGACAGAUUGGAAGACAAUACCUUCAUCUCUCGGUUGUUUUCUGCAACACUGUCACUUGUCUUUCUAAUGCACAGCUGCAGCAGUUUCUCUGAGAGUUCACACACAUCAGGUGAACGACCAGUGAAGGGGAGGAGGCCAUUAUCCCUCUUCUCAGAGCUGCUAAUGACUUCAGAUUGUCCAGUUGCUCAGAGAACUUCCCUUCAGCCAUUCCCACGCGGAGAUAUGGAGCAUGGUCUAAAAGUUUUAAUCUUCUUCUUUUUUUUUUUUCUUUUUCCAAUUUGUCAGAGGAAGUUCAAGGUUUGAAAUCCAGGAUCCAAAAAUGAUAUCACAAAUUUCAUGACCUUUUAAGAAUUAAUACAUAAACAUAGUAUAUUUUCUUCAGGCAAAAAGUGCACAAGAAUCUAAUGCUGAUUGUAAUGCAUUACUUGUUCAGCACCAUCACUGGUUCACUUCUGUAAGAGUUCUUUUGAGAUUGGCAUGUUGUCCAAAUCAAAUUCUACACUCACAAACUAAGGUGCAGUUUCAUAAGAUUAAAAAUUUAUGUGGGUGCCUGUCUGAAAAUUUGAAGCAUAAAAAAUAAAGUGGAUUAAAAAUACA